GCAGUACUGAGAUUUUAGAGAACAGCCAGCUAACCUGGACAUAACAUAUUGCUGCAAUACCUCCUGUUGUCUCAGUGAAGUGAGUAAAGGCUGAAUGCUGCAGAAUUCUGCAACAGAAGGAAAAUAAUCUCCUGAGAUUAAAACCUGAUGGACAAGAAAGAAAAAAAGAACUGAAAUGAAAGCUUUUCCAUCUGAAAAAUGAUCACUUUAAAAUGAACUGUGAAA